rnacentral:rRNA from 1 species
UUGAACCUAAUGAAAAAGUAAUUGAUGCACUAUAUCACUACAGACCUAAUAUUGUUGUAAAAAACGUAUAAACAUUUAAUUUUUAUGCGUGCAAAAAAUAAUAAAAAAUGUCAGGAAAAAGAGAUAUGGUCAUUGACGAUGUCUCUUUUUUAUGUUACUAUUUUCGUUAAAAUAGCGUGAAGAAAUUUGCGCUUUAAUUUAAUUAUACGAUAGAAUAAGGAGGAAAGAAUCAGUGGGUAAAAUUAUUGGCGAAGGAAUUACAUUUGAUGAUGUGCUUUUGGUACCACAGUAUUCAGAAGUGACACCUAAUAUGGUAGAUUUAUCUACACAUUUAACAAAGAAGAUCAAAUUAAACAUUCCUAUGAUGAGUGCCGGAAUGGACACAGUUACAGAACACAGAAUGGCAAUUGCAAUGGCGAGACAAGGUGGAAUUGGUAUCAUUCAUAAGAAUAUGACUAUUGAACAGCAGGCAGAUGAGGUAGAUAAGGUUAAACGUUCUGAAAACGGUGUCAUCACUGAUCCGUUCUAUUUAUCCCCAGAACAUACACUAAAGGAUGCAAAUGAAUUAAUGGCAAAAUUCAGAAUUUCAGGUGUUCCAAUUGUAGUAGGAAAGAAGUUAGUAGGUAUUAUUACUAACCGUGAUCUUAAAUUUGAAACAGAUGAAACAUAAGAGGGCCAGAGUCAGUAGGAGUAGACCCGAAACCGGGUGAUCUAUCCAUGUCCAGGUUGAAGCUGCCGUAAGAGGUAGUGGAGGACCGAACCCACAUCCGUUGAAAAGGGUGGGGAUGAGGUGUGGAUAGGGGAGAAAUUCCAAUCGAACCCGGAGAUAGCUGGUUCUCCUCGAAAUAGCUUUAGGGCUAGCCUCGUAUUAGUCUGGUGGAGGUAGAGCACUGAAUUUCCUAGGGGGCGUCAAAGCCUACCGAAGAAUAUCAAACUCCGAAUGCCAUACAGAUGAUGUACGGGAGUCAGACGGCACGAGAUAAGUUGGGUCGUCAAAAGGGAAAGAGCCCAGACCUGCAGCUAAGGUCCCAAAGUGUGUGUUAAGUGGAAAAGGAUGUGGGAUUUCAAAGACAACUAGGAUGUUGGCUCAGAAGCAGCCACACAUUCAAAGAGUGCGUAAUAGCUCACUAGUCGAGAGGUCCUGCGCCGAAAAUGUCCGGGGCUGAAACACAACACCGAAGCUCAGGAAUGUAUUUAUACAUUGGUAGAGGAGCAUUCUUAAAGGGGCGAAGCAGUACCGAUAAGGAGCUGUGGACUUUUAAGAAGAGAGAAUGCCGGAAUGAGUAGCGAGAUGGAGGUGGGAAUCCUCCAGGCCGAAUAUCUAAGGUUUCCAGGGUAAAGCUGAUCUGCCCUGGGUAAGUCGGGGCCUAAGGCAAGGCUGAGAAGCGUAGCUGAUGGACAACAGGUUUAGAUUCCUGUACCACAUGGUAUCAGAACUGUGGGGACGCAGAGGGAUAAGAUGACCGGGGGACAGAUUCCCGGGCAAGCGCAGGAGGUGUCAGGCAGGCAAAUCCGUCUGACAAGCCAAAGGCGUGACGCGGACCGAACUAAAGUAGGGAAGCAUCCGAUUCCAGCUGCCGAGAAAAGCCGCUAUUGUGUACCAUGUGCCCGUACCGUAAACCGACACAGGUGGAUGAGGAGAGAAUCCUAAGGCCGGCGGGAGAAGCAUUGUUAAGGAACUCGGCAAAAUGACCCCGUAACUUCGGGAGAAGGGGUGCUCACGCAAGUGAGCCGCAGAGAACUGGCCCAAGCAACUGUUUAGCAAAAACACAGGUCUAUGCAAAACCGAAAGGUGAGGUAUAUGGGCUGACGCCUGCCCGGUGCUGGAAGGUUAAGAGGAGAUGUUAGAGCAAUCGAAGCAUUGAAUUUAAGCCCCAGUAAACGGCGGCCGUAACUAUAACGGUCCUAAGGUAGCGAAAUUCCUUGUCGGGUAAGUUC